GGGAAUGAGUGUGAGGCUGGUGCCCACCUCGGCCUUCAAAGCCGCUGUCCUGGUGAUGAAUCGGGAGCUGGGUUCGAUUCCCAGGCGUUCCCGCCA
rnacentral:tRNA from 1 species